rnacentral:lncRNA from 1 species
UGCAUCCAUCAUGUAGAUAAGCAUAGCAUAUUGCAUCAUUAGUGCAUAGCAUUUUCAUAAUCAUGGGGCAUGGCGCUAAAAAAAAAAAAAAGAAAAACAACAAAACUCAUGCAUCAGCAUUGCAAACAUAUCCAUCAGCCCCAGGCCGUGGUGUCUAUCCGAGAAUGGGUUGUUGGAAAGAGUUUGGCAUCGCGCCGCUGGAUUGAUUUCAGAAUUGGGUUCCCCAGCAGGGUAGAGGGGUGUUUUCCCAACAAGUGACUCCUUAGUUGAGUGGGUAUCCCCAGCAUUG